AAAAACUAGGGAUGUUGCUCUGUGGUAAAGCGCCCCUGGGUUCAAAUCCCAGUACCCCUUCCCCUACCUUGCAAAAACAAAAACAAAAAACACCACCACCACACACACACAUAUAAACACUGAUGCCAGGAGGGUAACACUCAGGGUUUAAACAGCAACCACAAAAAUUUGUUUUUGUUCAUGUUGCUAUAUCACCUGGGCAGAUGAAACAUUUUUAGACUCUCGAAGAGGAGACUGAGCCCAUAAAGACAAAUGAAAUUACUUGGUAAUACAUCAGAACUUGACAAAUAAAUUGGUUCCUUGGGAAAGGCAGUAGCAGGUCACUAAACUGAAAACUUUACCUGAAUGAGGUGAUGGGUCUCCUUCAUCCCUCCGGGUCUCAUUGGUGGUCACAACUGAGGUGCUGGCACUACCAGGCACUACUCCCACAGACUGGGGCAUGACAACUCCAUGAUCCUCAACUUUGUCGUCAAAGCUUCCCAUGAGAGCCUUCCUAAUAAUAUCUUCUAGACCAAGAUUACUAGCAGGAUCAGCAAAAGAAUGACUUCUAGAGCUGACGGAGCCUGGAAGAGACAAGCCAUUUGUUUCUGAGAGGCAGAUAAGGACACAGGGAAAUGAACACAUCACAUACAGUCCUCCAGCUCAUUCAACUUUCACAGCACUCAGGAAGGCGCUUAAGAACACCAAUGAGGGUUCAUCUUGUAACUGUCUCGAUCUGCAAAUACUUCAAGGAAUCUUAUUACCCAGGGAAUCGGUCACCCAAACUUUUCUUAAUCAAUUAAAGGUUUUCUUUUUGUCAGUUCCCUGGUGUCUACACUGUUACUUAGUAGAUUUGAAUUUCUUUGCUCAUUUAUCUUUUCAGGAAGUAUUGAAUCCGUUCUCUUCUGUGCUUUUUGACUAACUAAAUUCUUAUUUCAUUUUUGCACACUGGAGCAGUUCCCUGGCUUGCGGAAUUUCUUUCCCACAUGGGGCAAGACAAAGACUAAAGGGACAAGCACAGACUACACCAAGGUGGAACAGUUCCCAACUGGCUGCUCUGAGAUCUACAUCUCCAUGGUUUGACAUCUUUGAGUUCUGACAGGAUUUCAACAUGAAGGUUGUUGGUGACAUUUGAGAAACUACUCAGGAAUCAUAUACCACAUAGCACCACCAGGACAGCAACAGAGGAAGCAGCAGCAGUUCCAUCCUGAGGCUCUGCAUGUACUUCAACAUCAGACUCCAACCUUCUCUUUGGCCAGUUAGUUCAAUUGUGACCUCAAUGGUUUUAUUGUUUAUUUCAGUCAUAAGUUAUCAAGUCUGUCCCCACUAAGGACUUCAAUAAUAAACUGAAACCUAAGAGUUUUGUCCAGUGAACCCACACUAGUUACACCAUUUUAGGGCUGAGAGGUUCUCUGCAAUUUAAUGUUUUUCCUCUAGAUACCACAUGGGAAGGAUGUGAGGUAAAUACACUGUUUAGAGUCUUUUAAAAGCUUUUUACAUAGAGAUUAUGCACACACCAAGCACCCCCUGUGACUUUCAAUAUCUGCAUAUUACUAUUAAACUUUUCCUUUCACUAUUAAUCUCAUCUAGUUCUGAAUUUUUAGGAAUAUUUAGUUCCUUUGGUGUCUUCCUCCCAAACUCUCUUUAUUUUUUUAUUUUUAUCAACUAUUUUCCAUGAGUUUGACUUACCUUCUCCAUGUUUUUAACUAUUGUAAUCUUUGUCUUUAAUGUGUAUCUUUAACCAUAUAUAGCAUAUGUCAACCUAUGCUUUCUUUUUUAAAAUGAAUUAGCAUGUAUACCCAUCUACCUCUUUUCUGUGUCUACCCUUCUCUUUCUAGUGUCUAUCAGCCAUAUUUAUGUGAUUUACAGUACUGAUAUUCUAUAUUAGAACUACAGAGAAUUUUUUCUUCAUUUUGCUUACAAAUUAAAAAUCAGUUGUUAGUGUUGCACGACAACAUGAAUUUCGAGAACAGUUUAAAAUGUAAAACCACGUAAUUUUACUAAGAUCAAUGAAAGAAAUGUAACAUGCUUCACUCAGAGGCACAGGCACAGUGAUGUAGAAAUUACAAGUGAAAAAGCCAGAUGGACUAUCUUUACAUAAAUGCCUUUGUUCAUAAUCUGCUACAUAGUGCUCUAUGUCAGGAAUGGAUGGUGACUUUGCUAUAUAGGUUAUCAUUUUAAUAACUGCACUUAAUUUUCUUUUUUGGUUAAAAUAAUAAACAUGCUUUAUUCUUUAAGAUCAUCCAGCUUCUUAAAUUAUGUCCAAGACUUGAUUCAAAAUAAUCCAGUAAAUCCAGGUGCAGUUGCUCAUGCCUGUAAUUCCAGGAAGGGCUGAAGCAAGAGGAUCCUGAGUUCAAAUCCAGCCUUAGCAACUUAGCAAGGCCCUAAAUAUGUAAAUUAGUGAGAUUCUGUCUCUAAAUAAAAUAUAAAAAGGGCCAGGGAUGUGGCUCAGUGGUUAAGCACUCCUGGGUUCAAUCCUUGGUACCAAAGGUGGGGUGGAUUCAGUGUGGGGGUGAGGCAAGGAAGGAAAAAAAUGAAACCAAACUGGCUAAUCAUUGAGGAUUACAAAAGCUGGGUAAUAGGAGCAUGGAGAUGUACAGUACUGUUUAUGCUAUUUUGUAUAUGUUUGAAAACUUCUGCAAUAAAGUUUUUUUAAA